rfam:Oryza glaberrima chromosome 12 Oglab12_0244_1, whole genome shotgun sequence.
AAAAAGACAAACCCUGGUUUCCGUGUCCAAAGUUUGACCGUCCGUCUUAUUAAAAAAAUUAUGAAAAAAUAAAAAGAUAAGUCACGCAUAAAGUAUUAAUCAUGUUUUAUCAUCUAACAACAAUGAAAAUACUAAUUAUAAAAAAAUUAUAUAAGACGGACAGUCAAACGUUGGCACGGAAACCCAGGGUUUGCCUUUUU